UACAGAGGGGGCAAGCGUUGUUCGGAAUUACUGGGCGUAAAGCGUGCGCAGGCGGCGCGUUAAGACAGGUGUGAAAGCCCCGAGCUUAACUUGGGAAUUGCGCUUGUGACUGGCGUGCUGGAGUGUGGCAGAGGGAGGUGGAAUUCCACGUGUAGCAGUGAAAUGCGUAGAUAUCGAGAGGAACACCAGUGGCGAAGGCGAGUCCCUGGACAUCUCCUGACACUGAGGCACGAAAGCUAGGGGAGCAAACAGG
rnacentral:rRNA from 1 species